GCCGGGAUGGCGGAACUGGUAGACGCGGCGGACUCAAAAUCCGUUUCCCUAAUCAGGAGUGUGGGUUCGAUUCCCUCUCCCGGCACCA
rnacentral:tRNA from 1 species